GAUGAAGAACGCAGCAAAAUGCGAUAAGUAAUGUGAAUUGCAGAAUUCAGUGAAUCAUCGAAUCUUUGAGCGCACAUUGCGCCCGCUGGUAUUCCGGCGGGCAUGCCUGUUCGAGCGUCAUUUCAACCCUCAAGCCCCCGGGUUUGGUGUUGGGGAUCGGCUCUGCCUUCUGGCGGUGCCGCCCCCGAAAUACAUUGGCGGUCUCGCUGCAGCCUCCAUUGCGUAGUAGCUAACACCUCGCAACUGGAACGCGGCGCGGCCAUGCCGUAAAACCCCAACUUCUGAAUGUUGACCUCGGAUCAGGUAGGAAUACCCGCUGAACUUAAGCAUAUCAAUAAGCGGAGGA
rnacentral:misc_RNA from 1 species